rnacentral:sRNA from 1 species
UUUUUUCUAGUAGUGAGUAUAUUGUGUUAAAAUCCUCAGCAGGAUAAUAUUUGGGCUUGGUGAUGGCAGGUAGAGGGGACCCUUGUCAAAUGGCGUGGACAGAUAAAAGUUGCUCAGGGCCUGAUGCAUGAGUUUAGCUUCCUUUUCACUUCCUCACUAAUGUCCUGGGGAAGAGCUCAGCUGAUUUUUCCUUCCUCUCCCCUGAAGCUGGAAUGGUUCUUUUCUUGGUUCUCUUUUUAGAUUUUAGUUCAACUCCCUUCAUAACAGCCUUGCCCAGGCCUCAUUCUAAUCGGUGUUGGGAACUGUUCUUAGGUUCCAUGCCACAGGCAGGGAGAGCAGGAGGAAACAGCACUUUGCAGAGGCGCUUGGGAGCCAGGCAUCCAGCUGGGGCCAGUGGAGGUCAAGCCUGAGUGGGGGAUGCCCCCUGGGGAAGGAGUUCAAGGUCCAGACCCAGGUACCGAGGAGCAGCUCAGUCAGGACCCUGGAGAUGAGACACGGGCCUUCCAGGAGCAAGGUGAGUAAGACGCAGAUAGUGGGGAUGUCAGGUCAUAGGAAACAGUGCUGUGCAGCCAACUCUUUUCAGAAACCCAGCAAUGGAGCAACUAAGUUACCCACGAGGUGUAAUUGUGAAUUUUCUUGGCUACUUCCUCCACCUUAGGAAAUAGAUGAAGUGAAAUUGUUUCUUCUCCCUUUACCCUCUGGUGUCUGGAGGGGAUAUCUGGGAUCAUGCUUUCUUAUUAUUUCUCUUUUCUUUCCCUCAGAUCCCUUCUAGAAACUACCAAGAAAUAUUCAGCUGACUUGCAGGAAUACUUUUUCAGUAGGCAGAUAAACCAUAUCCCCCAAAGUAAUAUGUAGCUUUCUUUCUUUCUUUCUUUUUUGAGACGGGGUGUCACUCUGUCACCCAGGUUGGAGUGCAGUGGCGUGAUCUCAGCUCACUGCAACCUUUGCCUCCUGGGUUGAAGCAAUUCUCCUGCUUCAGCCUCCCAAGUAGCUGGGACUACAGGCAUGUGCCACCAUGCCCUGUUAAUUUUUUUGUAUUUUUAGUGGAGAUGGGGUUUCACCAUGUUAGCCAGGAUGGUCUCGAUCUCCUGACCUCGUGAUCUGUCCACCUCAGCCUCCCAAAGUGCUGGGAUUACAGGCAUGAGCCACCGCGCCCAGCCCACGUAGCUUUAUUUUGUUACUGAAUCUCAAAGGAGGUUAUUCCCAGAGUGUGACUGGGUAGCAUGGGUAGCCCUGAACGGACAGGGCCGGGACAAUCUUGCCAGCUGAGAACAGGAGACACCCAGGCCCCAGCUGAGAAUAGGGCAAGGGACACCCAGGCCCCUGUGUGUGGGAAAGUAUGGUACCAGAGUGAAAAGGGAUUCUGUCUGGAGUCUUCUGGUUCCUGAGGUUGUACGCAUCUGGUAGGGGACACAUUUGAACGAGCUAACAGCAUAACAUCACUGAUCCUUCUGAUCUUUCUCAUGCUUUUUGUCCCUGCUCAGCACUACCUGUUCUGCAGGCGGGUCCUGGCCUCCCCGCAGUGAAUCCCAGAGACCAAGAGAUGGCAGCUGGGUUCUUUACUGCUGGAUCGCAGGGGUUGGGGCCAUUUAAAGAUAUGGCCCUGGCCUUCCCUGAGGAGGAGUGGAGGCAUGUGACCCCAGCCCAGAUAGACUGCUUUGGGGAGUACGUGGAACCGCAGGACUGCAGGGUCUCUCCAGGCGGUGGGAGCAAGGAAAAGGAGGCAAAACCCCCACAGGAAGACCUGAAAGGGGCGCUGGUGGCACUGACAUCAGAGAGGUUUGGGGAAGCCUCUCUCCAGGGCCCUGGGCUCGGAAGGGUCUGUGAGCAGGAGCCUGGUGGCCCUGCAGGCAGUGCGCCUGGGCUUCCUCCUCCCCAGCACGGUGCCAUCCCCCUGCCUGACGAAGUCAAAACCCACAGCUCCUUCUGGAAGCCUUUCCAGUGCCCUGAGUGUGGGAAAGGAUUCAGUCGGAGCUCCAAUCUCGUCAGGCACCAGCGAACCCACGAAGAGGAGAAGUCUUAUGGCUGUGUGGAGUGUGGGAAGGGCUUUACCCUGAGAGAGUACCUGAUGAAGCACCAGAGAACCCACCUGGGAAAGAGGCCCUACGUGUGCAGCGAGUGCUGGAAAACCUUCAGCCAGAGACACCACCUGGAGGUGCACCAGCGCAGCCACACUGGGGAGAAGCCCUACAAGUGCGGGGACUGCUGGAAGAGCUUCAGCCGCAGGCAGCACCUGCAGGUGCACCGGAGGACGCACACCGGGGAGAAGCCCUACACCUGCGAGUGUGGCAAGAGCUUCAGCAGGAAUGCCAAUCUGGCGGUGCACCGGCGUGCCCACACUGGCGAGAAGCCAUAUGGGUGCCAGGUGUGCGGGAAGCGGUUCAGCAAAGGGGAGCGGCUGGUCCGACACCAGAGAAUCCACACAGGGGAGAAGCCCUACCACUGUCCUGCCUGCGGGCGAAGCUUCAACCAGAGGUCCAUCCUCAACCGGCACCAGAAGACCCAGCACCGCCAGGAGCCGCUGGUGCAGUGAGCAUAGCAGGUGGCAGGCAGCACCAUCAUUCAUCUUUCUCACUGCAGGGCCUUGUGGGGCGCAAGGUGAUGGCUGCAGGAAAGCACUGGUCCCAUCGCCUUCCCACCCAUUUGCAAACGCGGGAAAGGCAAGGCCUGGCUUACUUAGAGCUUCCAGAGAGCAUAGCUGCUUCCAUCUCUUACCCAAGUGGUGCUAAACAAUUUUUCUUCCAAUGUUUGAGGGAAGCAGUCUCCUGCGGUUCAGUUCAGGCUGAGAUUUUCUCCUUCAGUGGACUGUCUGUGUCCCCCUGCCGAACAAAGCUGGGAGUAAAGGCAAAACCUUGACACGUGUUGGUAGCUGGGACCUCAUCUUCCUGAGGGCUCUGUCUUGCCUGCAGGGUCAUUAGCUCAGACUCUUUCCCUACCCCCUCUCUUUUCCAUUGAACAAACAUUUAUUGAACAUCCUCUGAGCACCUGGCCGUGGGAAUGCCGUGGUGAAUGAGAGACUAGACGUGAUGCCUCUGGGGGUUGUGCGUUGGGGAUGCAUGCGACAGCCCAUGACCCGAGGCAUUCUCAGGGUAUCUGUGCUGUGUGCCCGUGAGAACAUCUUCCCAUGACCACUCCUGCCCUCCUGCCCCGUGCUGGAUCUUCCCUCCCCAGCUGGGAUCUGCUCCCAGGCAACUGUGUGAAUUUUACAUUAUUUGGAGCCUCAUCUGUGUCAGGCUAUAACAUUCUAUCCUCAUCUGUAAAACUUCCCCGUCCAUUAUUCCUUGCACUAUAACAACUGUCAACACACCAGCUAUUAGGAAGUUAGUAUUUUGCUAUUGAUCACUGAAUAAACAUCAGAGUAUUUUAAAAAACAGUUCUCUAGAAAGAACUGUUAUAAUUAAAAUGAGUCUGAAAGAUGAACUCUAGUAUUAAUGCCCUAUAUUUGAUGGCACUUUAUAGUUCAUAAAAUUAAUUUCACCCCAUUCUCAUUGGACCCAUUUCCCAAGUAUUUAUUGAGGCCCUGUAACAAACAUGUCAGGAACUCUUCUGGGUGCUUGAGACACAUCCAUGAAUAAAAUAGGGGGAGAAGCUGUUGACCUCGUAGAGCUUAUGUCUCGUGGAUGUACCUGAUCUUCAGAACCCGUGGAUAUUCCUGCAAAUCCUCUGGGCCUGUAUUCAUUGUUUUGUCAGCAUCUUGCCCUGAAAUGCAUUUGCCACCUACCUCUUGUUACUAAAUGGUCUCUGCCCUCUAGACCCUUGUCAUCCAAGGCACUAGGGAUCCUAGACACCCACUGGGGAUGAUGAGCUGGUAGCGACCUGUUUUGCAUGAGUGCCAAGUCAGGAAAAAUAAAGAUAUUUGUAGGCAUUAAAAAAAAAUACAAUUUCUUUAAAAAUGAGAAGAUGCAAUAUUUGUAAACUGUUGAAGCUUCCUUAUUGUGCCAUCACUUAAGGGUUUCAUUUCUGUUUAAAGUUCUGGAAGCUGCAUAACUAGCAUGGACUGACUGCUGUGUCAUUGUGCUGUGCCUUUGAACCCUGGCUGAGUGAGUGAGUUUGUCUUUUGUUGAUAGUGUACUAUAAUUGCAAAAUGUGGUUUGUCUUCUGAUGCCUCUUAAUACCAGAUUCUUUUACUGAGAUUUUUUUUUUUCAUUUUCCAUUGUAAAUAAGGUAAAUGGUAAUGACUAACACAAAGCUGUAUUACUCAGCCCACUUUGAAACGUGGUUUUAUCACCUGUUCUUGGUAGGCAGCAUGGUGUCUAAUUUUGGCUUAGCAAAUGACCCUUCUUGGUCUUCCUGGCUCAUUAGCUGUGCCCACGAGGCUGCACUGACCGGGUCGUAAAUGUAUCUGAGAUGUCCACACGGGGCUGCUGCUGCUCCUCUGUAAUACUGAGGUCCACGUGCAAAAUCAGCUUUUUUUCCCCCGUAAUUAUCAGAGCAGCUAGGCAGGGCUGACAGCCAGGCAGACUCAGUGGGAGGCUUCUGGCCUGAGUGUGGCCUUCCCCAGAGGGUGGUUUUCCAAAGGCAGGUGGGGACUGGGGAGGCCUCGGGGGGCUGCUUGUCACUCAUCAUUCUGUUUACCUGAAUCACAGAUGCUCUUUUAUCAUACACAGCCAGCACUCCUCUGGGUUUCAGCAAGUUGGGAUAUCUUAAGCUUCAGAAGGAGCUGGGCCUUGCUGACUUUCCUAUCUGGCCUCUUCCCUAUCUCCUGUGGGGCCAAGAGCUUAGGACAGUGUCUCAGAAAAGCCUCUUAGUAGGGGGUUUUUCCCAUGGGAUUGUAGUAGUAUGAUUUUUCAUAUCUAUUCAAAUGUUAAGAAAUAUUUUGUUUUCUGUAUUUUUCUAUUCUUUAGAAAUUUUUUUAUAAUAGAUAAUUUCAAACCUAUAUAAAUAAAUCCUUAUGUAUUU